rnacentral:rRNA from 1 species
GUGGGGAAUAUUGGACAAUGGGCGAAAGCCUGAUCCAGCCAUGCCGCGUGUGUGAAGAAGGUCUUCGGAUUGUAAAGCACUUUAAGUUGGGAGGAAGGGUAGUAACCUAAUACGUUGCUACUUUGACGUUACCGACAGAAUAAGCACCGGCUAACUUCGUGCCAGCAGCCGCGGUAAUACGAAGGGUGCAAGCGUUAAUCGGAAUUACUGGGCGUAAAGCGCGCGUAGGUGGUUUUGUAAGUUGGAGGUGAAAUCCCCGGGCUCAACCUGGGAACUGCCUCAAAAACUGCAUGACUAGAGUACGGUAGAGGGUAGUGGAAUUUCCUGUGUAGCGGUGAAAUGCGUAGAUAUAGGAAGGAACACCAGUGGCGAAGGCGACUACCUGGACUGAUACUGACACUGAGGUGCGAAAGCGUGGGGAGCAAACAGGAUUAGAUACCCGAGUAGUCC